rnacentral:rRNA from 1 species
UAAGUAGGGUGCAAGCGUUAAUCGGAAUUACUGGGCGUAAAGCGUGCGCAGGCGGUUUUGUAAGUCUGUCGUGAAAGCCCCGGGCUCAACCUGGGAAUUGCGAUGGAGACUGCAAGGCUUGAAUCUGGCAGAGGGGGGUAGAAUUCCACGUGUAGCAGUGAAAUGCGUAGAGAUGUGGAGGAACACCGAUGGCGAAGGCAGCCCCCUGGGUCAAGAUUGACGCUCAUGCACGAAAGCGUGGGGAGCAAACAGG